UACGUAGGGUGCAAGCGUUGUCCGGAAUUAUUGGGCGUAAAGAGCUCGUAGGCGGUUUGUCGCGUCUGCGUGUGAAAACUGGAGGCUCAACCUCCAGCCUGCAGUGGGUACGGGCAGACUAGAGUGCGGUAGGGGAGAUUGGAAUUCCUGGUGUAGCGGUGGAAUCGCAGAUAUCAGGAGGAACACCGAUGGCGAAGGCAGAUCUCUGGGCCGUAACUGACGCUGAGGAGCGAAAGCGUGGGGAGCGAACAGG
rnacentral:rRNA from 1 species